CCUACGGGUGGCAGCAGUGGGGGAUAUUGCACAAUGGGGGGAACCCUGAUGCAGCGACGCCGCGUGGGUGAAGGAGUGCUUCGGCAUGUAAAGUCCUAUCGGCAGGGAAGAAGCUAGACGGUACCUGACUAAGAACCCCCGGCUAACCACGGGCCAGCAGCCGCGGUAAUACGUAGGGGGCAAGCGUUAUCCGGAUUUACUGGGUGGAAAGGGAGCUUAGACGGGAGUGCAAGUCUGAAGUGAAAGGCGGGGGCUCAACCCCCGGACUGCAUUGGAAACUGUACGGCUGGAGUGCAGGAGAGGUAAGUGGAAUUCCUGGUGUAGCGGUGAAAUGCGUAGAUAUUAGGAGGAACACCAGUGGCGAAGGCGGCUUACUGGACUGUAACUGACGUUGAGGCUCGAAAGCGUGGGGAGCAAACAGGAUUAGAUACCCGUGUAGUC
rnacentral:rRNA from 1 species